CAGGACGAACGCUGGCGGCGUGCCUAACACAUGCAAGUCGAGCGAGGAGAUUCCUUCGGGAUGAUCCUAGCGGCGGACGGGUGAGUAACACGUGGGCAACCUGCCUCAUAGAGAGGAAUAGCCUUCCGAAAGGGAGAUUAAUACCUCAUAACAUUGCAGUUUCGCAUGGAACAGCAAUUAAAGGAGUAAUCCGCUAUGAGAUGGGCCCGCGGCGCAUUAGCUAGUUGGUGAGGUAAUGGCUCACCAAGGCGACGAUGCGUAGCCGACCUGAGAGGGUGAUCGGCCACAUUGGGACUGAGACACGGCCCAGACUCCUACGGGAGGCAGCAGUGGGGAAUAUUGCACAAUGGGGGAAACCCUGAUGCAAGCAACGCCGCGUGAGUGAUGACGGCCUUCGGGUUGUAAAGCUCUGUCUUCAGGGACGAUAAUGACGGUACCUGAGGAGGAAGCCACGGCUAACUACGUGCCAGCCGCUGC
rnacentral:rRNA from 1 species